rnacentral:lncRNA from 1 species
GGCGGCGGCGGCAGUGGCAGUCGCCGGAGAAGCAUCAUGCCGAGGAGGAAGCAGCAGGCGCCCCGGCGCGCAGCAGACAAGAGCAUCAAUUGGGUGGAGGUUCUCAGCACGUGGUGGGUGGAGAACGUGCUGCCCUAGUCUCUUCACACUACCCCUGUGUACCUGUGGAGCCUAAAACACCUGGGAAGGAAGCAAACCCCAGAGCUCCGAAACCUCCAUUUCCAAAAAGGAUCGAGAGCCAGUCUCCUAGAAAUGGAGCCCUUAGUGGUGGUCCACGCUGGAGACGAUGACAAACAAUUGGACCCUUGUGUCCCCAAGCUGUGGGCUCCCUGGCGAUGACACCGGAGCUGUCUCUAUUUUGCCUGUCGGGGGAAUGUUCCAGCGCAUUUUCCCUUAUUAUGACUUGAUUAAGGACACAAUAAACCCUUGCCAUGAUUUUUA